rnacentral:rRNA from 1 species
GGAGCCGACCUUGAAAUACCACCCUUUAAUGUUUGAUGUUCUAACGUGGACCCGUUACCCGGGUUGCGGACAGUGUCUGGUGGGUAGUUUGACUGGGGCGGUCUCCUCCUAAAGAGUAACGGAGGAGCACGAAGGUUGGCUAAUCCUGGUCGGACAUCAGGAGGUUAGUGCAAUGGCAUAAGCCAGCUUGACUGCGAGCGUGACGGCGCGAGCAGGUGCGAAAGCAGGUCAUAGUGAUCCGGUGGUUCUGAAUGGAAGGGCCAUCGCUCAACGGAUAAAAGGUACUCCGGGGAUAACAGGCUGAUACCGCCCAAGAGUUCAUAUCGACGGCGGUGUUUGGCACCUCGAUGUCGGCUCAUCACAUCCUGGGGCUGAAGUAGGUCCCAAGGGUAUGGCUGUUCGCCAUUUAAAGUGGUACGCGAGCUGGGUUUAGAACGUCGUGAGACAGUUCGGUCCCUAUCUGCCGUGGGCGCUGGAGAACUGAGGGGGGCUGCUCCUAGUACGAGAGGACCGGAGUGGACGCAUCACUGGUGUUCGGGUUGUCAUGCCAAUGGCACUGCCCGGUAGCUAAAUGCGGAAGAGAUAAGUGCUGAAAGCAUCUAAGCACGAAACUUGCCCCGAG